rnacentral:piRNA from 1 species
UGACACACACAUAUCAGCAGGGAAGCUGGA